rnacentral:rRNA from 1 species
AUUGAACGCUGGCGGCAGGCCUCACACAUGCAAGUCGAGCGAGCGGCGGACGGGUGAGUAAUGUAUGGGGCUCUGCCUGAUGGCGGGGGAUAACUACUGGAAACGGUCGCUAAUACCGCAUACCAUCAGCCUGACCCAUAUGGUAUUAGCUAGUAGGUAAGGUAACGGCUUACCUAGGCGACGAUCCCUAGCUGGUCUGAGAGGAUGAUCAGCGACACUAGGACUGAGACACGACCCAGGAUCCUACUGAAGGCAUCAGAGGGGAAAGUUGCACGAGGGGCGCAAGCCUGAUGCAGCCAUGCCGCGUGUAUGAAGAGGGCCUUCGUGAUGUACAGUACUUUCGGUCGAGAGGCGUAGCCGGCAGAAGAAGCACCUGCUAACUCCGUGCCAGCCGCCGCGGUAAUAC